rnacentral:rRNA from 1 species
UAAGGAAUAUUGGUCAAUGGACGAAAGUCUGAACCAGCCAUGCCGCGUGGAGGAUGAAGGCCCUCUGGGUUGUAACCUUCUUUUAUAUGGGACGAAAAAGGGUCUUUCUAGAUCAACUGACGGUCCCAUUUGAAUAAGCACCGGCUAACUCCGUGCCAGCAGCCGCGGUAAUACGGAGGGUGCAAGCGUUAUCCGGAUUCACUGGGUUUAAAGGGUGCGUAGGUGGGUUGGUAAGUCAGUGGUGAAAUCUCCAAGCUUAACUUGGAAACUGCCAUUGAUACUAUCAGUCUUGAAUAUUGUGGAGGUUAGCGGAAUAUGUCAUGUAGCGGUGAAAUGCUUAGAUAUGACAUAGAACACCAAUUGCGAAGGCAGCUGGCUACGCAUAUAUUGACACUGAGGCACGAAAGCGUGGGGAUCAAA